rnacentral:rRNA from 1 species
UACGUAGGGUGCGAGCGUUGUCCGGAAUUAUUGGGCGUAAAGCGCACGUAGGCGGCUUUGCAAGUCGGAUGUGAAAGCCCUCGGCUCAACCAAGGAAGUGCAUCCGAAACUGCAGAGCUUGAGUACUUAAGAGGAUCGCGGAAUUCCCGGUGUAGAGGUGAAAUUCGUAGAUAUUCGCAAGAACACCAGUGGCGAAGGCGGCUCACUGGCCCGAUACUGACGCUGAGGCACGAAAGCGUGGGGAGCAAACAGG